ensembl:lncRNA
GUUGACUUACAGUGUUUUGUCCAUUUCUGCUGUACAGUGAAGUGACCCAGUUACACAGCAUAUAUACACAUUCUUUUCUCACAUUUUCCUCCAUCAUGUUCCAGAGCAAGUGACGAGACAGAGUUCCCUGUGCUGUACAGCAGGAUCUCAUUGCUUAUCCACUCCAAAUACAAUAGUUUGCAUCUGCUAACCCCAAACUUCCAGUCCCUCCCACUCUUUCCCCCUCCCCCUUGGCAACUAACCACAAGCCUGUUCUCCAUGUCCAUGGGUUUGUUUCUUUUGUGUCUAUAGGUCCAUUUAUGCCAUAUAUUCUAUUCCAGAUGUAAGUGAUGUUAUAUGGUGUUUGUCUUUCUCUUUCUGACUUACUUAGUAUGAGAGCUUCUAGUUCCAUCCAUGCUGCAAAUGGCAUUUUGUUCUUUUUAAAGGCUGAGUAGUAUUCCCUUGUGUAUCUUCUUAAUCCGUUUAUCUGUCAGUGGGCAUUUAGGUUGUUUCCAUGUCUUGGCUAUUGUGAGUAGUGCUGCAGUGAACAUAGGGGUGGCAUGUAUCUUUUGAAUGAAUGUUUUGUGUGGAUAUAUGCCCAGGAGUGGGAUUGCUGGCUCAUAUGGUAGUUGUCUAUUUAGUUUUUGAGGUACCUCCAUACUGUUUUCCACAGUGGUUAUAGAAGCUUCCAGGGCCCACUCUGACUCAAGGGGCGUGGACAUGGCCACUGGCUGACCGUGGAAACGUCGGAGUUUGUGGUUCUCUUUAGCCUGCCACACUGGGUAAUAACAGAAUUGACCUCUUUGCCUGCAGAAUGAGUUCAGACUUUCUGAAAAUGAAAUGAGCUGAUCAUGUACAAAUCCAGUCAGGUCCAAACGUCCUGGCCGCUAACUCUUCCUCGAGUUGGCCCCACCCUACUUUGCCAAGGUCGUUUCCCCUGUAGUUGUCCCUCCCAUGUUUCCCCAGAGCAGUCCGUGUGUGGGGGUGGUGUGGAAUUCCGAACGAACCGCUUCAUUGCUCAUCCAGCUCUGCUUAGAAGCAUGUUUCACGUAAGCCUGACCUUCGCUGGGCCAGGCAGAGAAUGACGUGUGGUGGGAGAGCGCAUUCGUUCAGUACCAUUGAUUCCACCCACGGCUUCGUGGGGAGCCUCCGCAGGCAUUUAGAGCAGAGCUGCGAGGUUCUCAGGCUGGCCUUUUGGGAGGCUGUCCUGACAGCUGCAUGAGAACCGGGGCGGGGGCGGGGGGCACCCGCAGGGAGAGGAUUUGUCACCCGGGCAAGAAAGGAGGCAUUUCUGAGCAAACAUGUUUGCAGGGAGUAUAGGGAGAAGGUGGUCCUGGGAGGUGUAGGGAGGUGAAACCUUCCCGCUUGGUCCACACGGGUAGAGGAUGGUAGGCGUGGUCCCUGGAGAGGGAAGGCCGCAGGGCUCACUGGGCUUGGACUCGGUGGCACCAUCCAUGAAGAUGGGGGACGGGAGGAGGAGUGAUGUGGUGGGGAGAUGGACUGGCCUCUUUGGCCCUGUUGAGUUCACGGCUGCCCCGAGCAGCCCAGCGGAAGUGGUUCCUGGGCAUCUGGAGUUAGAUCUGGCCCUCAGGGGUGCAGACGGGAUGGAGUUUAACCAGGCACGAUCAUACUGGCAGGUUGGGACGGGAGAACCCAGCUUCUGACUGAGGUGAUCUGCUUGCCUUGGAAAUGGCUGAGUUGUUUUCACACAACAAGUAAACGCACGCCUAAAAACCCAAGAACCUCUCCCUAUGUUACACUGUGGGUUUCAGACCAGCUGGAAUCACACCCUGGUCUCUCUGAACAUCUCGCGCUUCUUUUCCUUUUUUUUGUUCCUUUUGCUUCGAAUAUACCCUGACUUUCCAUCCACUUUCUUCCAGUUCCUUCAUGUCUAACUUCAGCCCAUACUUUGAAACCCAUUGCAAAUGCUGAGGAGUUCCCACUGUGGUGCAGGGGGUUAAGAACCUGACUGCAGUGGCUUGGGUGACUGUGCAGGCAUGGGUUCAACCCCUGGCCCAGCACAGUGGGUUAAAGAA